AUGAACGCUGGCGGCGUGCCUAAUACAUGCAAGUCGAGCGAACAGACGAGGAGCUUGCUCCUCUGACGUUAGCGGCGGACGGGUGAGUAACACGUGGAUAACCUACCUAUAAGACUGGGAUAACUUCGGGAAACCGGAGCUAAUACCGGAUAAUAUAUUGAACCGCAUGGUUCAAUAGUGAAAGACGGUUUUGCUGUCACUUAUAGAUGGAUCCGCGCCGCAUUAGCUAGUUGGUAAGGUAACGGCUUACCAAGGCAACGAUGCGUAGCCGACCUGAGAGGGGGAUCGGCCACCAUGGAACUGAGACACGGUCCAGACUCCUACGGGAGGCAGCAGUAGGGAAUCUUCCGCAAUGGGCGAAAGCCUGACGGAGCAACGCCGCGUGAGUGAUGAAGGUCUUCGGAUCGUAAAACUCUGUUAUUAGGGAAGAACAAAUGUGUAAGUAACUAUGCACGUCUUGACGGUACCUAAUCAGAAAGCCACGGCUAACUACGUG
rnacentral:rRNA from 1 species